rnacentral:rRNA from 1 species
AUUGAACGCUGGCGGCAUGCUUUACACAUGCAAGUCGAACGGCAGCGCGGGCUUCGGCCUGGCGGCGAGUGGCGAACGGGCGAGUAAUGCAUCGGAACGUGCCCAGUAGUGGGGGAUAGCCCGGCGAAAGCCGGAUGAAUACCGCAUACGACCUGAGGGUGAAAGCGGGGGACCGAAAGGCCUCGCGCGAUUGGAGCGGCCGAUGACGGAUUAGCUAGUUGGUGGGGUAAAGGCUUACCAAGGCGACGAUCCGUAGCUGGUCUGAGAGGACGACCGGCCACACUGGGACUGAGACACGGCCCAGACUCCUACGGGAGGCAGCAGUGGGGAAUUUUGGACAAUGGGCGCAAGCCUGAUCCAGCCAUGCCGCGUGAGGGAAGAAGGCCUUCGGGUUGUAAAACGCUUUUGUUAGGGAAGAACUACUCUGGGCUAAUACCCCGGGGGGAUGACGGUACCGGAAGAAUAAGCACCGGCUAACUACGUG